AGCCUGGAGCUGUGGCGCCGGCCCCGCUGGGGUUUGGCCCGCGCUACCCGGCCCGUGGGCCCGGCGCUCCGUGCAAGCUUAAGGCCUGCUCAAUACUUCAGCUCCUUGUAUGGAAGCUAGGCAGACAUGUGUCACAAAGUUGUGACACUUCUAGUUUUUUUCCCGGAACCCCGUUCAAAGAAUCGCCUCAGAAACUAGUUCUUUGCCUUUGUUUUAUAGGCUGAAGGGGAUGCUAAAGGAGAUAAAGCCAAGGUGAAAGACGAACCACAGAGAAGAUCUGCAAGGUUGUCUGCCAAACCUGCUCCUCCAAAGCCAGAGCCCAAGCCUAAAAAGGCCCCUGCAAAGAAGGGAGAGAAGGUACCCAAAGGGAAAAAGGGAAAAGCUGACACUGGCAAGGAUGGGAAUAACCCUGCAGAAAAUGGAGAUGCCAAAACAGACCAGGUAUGAUGCUUUUUUCCAAUUGUUGCCCCUUU